CCGCGAGCGGCGCAGCAGCCCUGGUGAAGCCUGGCCCGACGCUGCCUCCCGGCCCGCCCGCCCCACGGAUGGCUGCGCAGAGGAAGCACUUGGUGAAAGACUUCAACCCCCACAUCACCUGUUACAUCUGCAAAGGCUAUCUCAUCAAGCCCACCACCGUCACCGAGUGCCUCCACACCUUUUGUAAGACUUGUAUUGUUCAGCACUUUGAAGACAGUAAUGAUUGCCCCAGAUGUGGCAAUCAGGUGCACGAGACCAAUCCAUUAGAAAUGUUAAGGCUAGAUAACACAUUAGAAGAAAUUAUAUUCAAACUGGUGCCCGGACUUCGAGAACAGGAACUACAGCGUGAGAUCGAAUUUUGGAGGAAAAACAAACCUCAAGAAAAUGGACAAGAUGAAAAUCCAAAAUCUGAUAAGCCCAAAGUAGAUGAAGAGGGUGAUGAAAAUCAGGAAGAUAAAGACUAUCAUAGGAGUGACCCACAGAUUGCUAUUUGCCUGGAUUGUUUACGUAACAAUGGACAGUCAGGGGAUAACGUAGUGAAAGGUUUAAUGAAGAAAUUCAUCCGUUGUUCUACACGAGUGACUGUGGGAACUAUCAAAAAGUUUCUCAGUUUAAAAUUAAAACUUCCAAGUUCUUAUGAGCUGGAUGUACUAUGCAAUGGAGAAAUCAUGGGGAAGGAUCAUACUAUGGAAUUCAUCUAUAUGACAAGAUGGAGACUCAGAGGAGAAAAUUUUCGGUGUCAGAACUGCUCAUCUUCGCAAGUCUGCUCACAGGAUGGCACUUUUUAUCAGUCUUAUCCUAUGGUACUGCAGUAUCGACCCAGAAUUGACUUCGGCUAGACCAAAGGUCCAGACCACACUGAGAUGAAUUCUGCACUAUUGUUUACCCAUCGACAGAUUGCACAAUGAAUGGAUGUGCCUGGAUUAGGGGGACACAACCAGAUUUUCAGCAUGCAAAUAAGAACCUUGUCUUUCUUAAAAUUGUCAGUUGCAUCUUUGUUGUUUCUAUUAGAGCAAGCCAAGUGCCAUUCUGCUACUGAAAUGUGCAUAAGAUAUUUGUGGUAUCUUACAAGUGUGCUGCAAGUCAUAGCCAAAAUCAUGAAGUGUGCAGUCAAGAUUCAGAAACUACAGAAUAUUUUUCCCAUGUGUUAGAAAAAGUUUCUGGUCUUCAUGUUGAUUACACUAGCAAAAUGGCCAAGUGCUCAUUCCAUGUCGUGUUGCAAUUUUCACACAAUUACUAUUUUACUGAAUAUUGUUGUAUAAAUGAUAGAGUACUGUACAAAAAAUUAAGGAUUAUAUCUUGAAAUAUUUUGUAUAGAAAAUAUAUUUAGAAAAGUGGUUAUUGUGCCACUACCUUUCUCUUGGUAAGCUUCUGAUAGGUCCAGGUAUAGUUCACUCAUGAGUGUGCAGCAGUCCUUUUGCUAUGAAUGAUGUGUACCCCAGGCACAAGAGCAGAAUGCAGUAAUUAAAAAGCCUAAAUAGUGUGCCAGUAUCUCUUAAAAACUUCAUAACCUUUGAAUACACAUUUUUACAACUUGUCUAGAAUUGACAAUUUGAGAUGCAGGUAUUUUAGGAUAAUGGAAGCUGGCCAGAUUAUGGUUCUUCUAAUAAAGUGUUUGUAAAAGUGAGGUUAAAAAUCAUUUAAAUACUAAAUGGAAAAGUAGCAUUUUCUCUGUAAGGUCAUCCCACAUAUCAAAAUGUAUUUAUUUUUGUCAGUGGCAUUCAUAUUCAGGAAUUCUUUCUUUUUUUUAAGGUGUAUCUACAUCAGACAUAUAUGUAAAAAGAAUACAAAGUGACAUAUUUCAAAACAUAGCUUUGAUUAUAUUAAAUGUCUGUUGUGGUUACAUGGAGUUUAGAAGCUAUUGAAGAUGUAUAUAAUUAGUUACAGUCAUAAAGCUAAUUUCAUAAUAACAAAAGGCAAUACAGUAUUGGAAGAUAAACAGUUUGACCAAAAUAAUUGGUUUUCCAGGGUAAUUUUCCCUAGGAACUAGUAUCACAAUGUAAUAGUUCUAGUGUAGAACAUUGUAUUGAGGUUUCUGGUAACAUUGCUGGGAACAGUAUUGCAUAUGUUUUCUGUAGUCUUCCAUUGUUUUAGCUCUGUUUAAAAGUCAUAAUGGCUUUUUUACUUUAAACUGCAGAGAAAAAUACAGUUAAGUAACGUUGUAUGUUUUAGCUACAAGUAUUGUAGAUUACCACUUAUUUUCUUGCAUAAAACAAGAAGGAGCGAGAGGCUUUCAGAAGUUGCCACAGGUUGAGUUAAUCAUGCUUAGAAAAAAGCAAACAAUAAUAAAAACCCCAACUCAAGAAACAUGGGAUCAGAGUAUUUAAGGUGAUAGGAUAUAGGUUCUAUAGAAAUGCAGUCUCAGUGUUGUUUAAAUAUGUAACACAUGUAAACGCAUUAUGCGUGAAAUCCUGGCCCCACUGAAGUUGUCAGUUUUAAGAAGGACCAGGAUUUCACCUGUGUGUACACAUUGGGUCAUAUCCUACCUUUGUAUUCCAAAAGUCGUAUAGCAAACAGGAGCAAAAAUGCAUAGCAGGUAGCAUUCUGUCUAGCAAUCUUACCAUUACAGGUCAAGAUUGCCCUAUUGUGCUAAUGCAUUGUAGCAGAAGGAAGCAGGCUGCUUUCAUCUGUAGGCACAUGUUGAUUAUAGGGCUUGCUUUGCCCAUGCUGUUGACAGAGCUGAUAAAACGUUCCUCAUAGGUGGGCCCCUGUCCUCUGUGGACAAGUGGAUUCUUCACAAGCACAUUACUUUUCUAGCUGGAUCUGUUUGCAGGAUCAGGGUCUAAAUGCACCUUACAAUUUAUAUAUAGUAUUUUUACACCAGGAGUAUUUCUGUUAUGGCUUCACUUGAAAAUGAAGGAUUUGGUUUCAGUUCCUGUCCAAUAUUACUAAUGGUAAUAUUUUUAAUGUUAAUUUUUAUUUGGUUUAGGUAACAGUUUAGCAAUGUACUUCCUAUUUUGGCAAAUUCUCAACCACCCAUUGAGAUUUUUUUUAUCAGAAAAACAGCACUCAAGUUACCAUUUUAAAUCCAUUUUCAAACAUUUUACAUAGCUAAGAUUUUUUUCAUUAAAUCAGCAAAUUCAUAUAAAAUAUAGUAUGACCACUGAAAUGUCUUACUGUAUUGUGAAGGACUGUGAGUCACAACCAAUAAGGGGUUGGAUGUUUAUAAUGACUUCCAGCAUUCCAAGUUCAGUGAGCCAUAGAUUUAGCUUGCUCUGAGUUGGUAAUUGCCUUAUUUUAUAAUACGUUUAAUCCAACACAGAUUGGAGUAAAGGAGGCAGAUCUUCACAGUAAGCAUGGAAACUACUGACAGGCAUAGUUUUAUUGUUCCCAGUUGAGAAUUGCUGCCUUCACUGCUUAUGAAUAUAUAUGAUUUAGCUGCCUACACGUAAAUGUUUCUGAUGGCAUAGUGCCCAAUUGGUUAAAUACUUCUUCUAGGAGUGAGGUGCCAACCAGAUGCAUAUCAUGCAGCCAGUAUAACAUAAGUGUGACUUCUGCAGGAAAUUUCUUUUUUCUGUAUGGAACAUAGAUGCCAUGUGUAUGCACAUGUGUAUAUUUGAUUAUCCCUGUUGACACAUUUGUGCCAAUUAAAUAUAUACAAACCCUGUAGAAAUAAGAGAACUUGUGUACAGACUCAUAUUCCAAAGAUGAGUUAUAAUGAAGUGAGCGCAUGAGUAUUCCGUGAAAAUCACACAAGGGGUGCAUAGACACGUACUAAUUGGGUUUAAGGUGACUUAACUAAGUCACUUAAGCCAAGUCAGAGCAUACAGAUGUACAGCUCCUUGACAUGAUGGCAGCCAUCUUGUGAGCUAAGUUGACUUAACUAAUGCAACUCAAGAUAAUACACCUUGGAAGCUUAUUAUUAUGCAAUUCAUUUAAGUCAACUCUGCUCCAUACACAUGUAUACACUCUAACAGUUAAGUUGACUUAAAGUUAAGUCAGCUUAACUGUCAGAAAGUUAGUACGUAUGUAUGUACCUAAUGUGUCCAAGAAAAUCAGGAAACUACCAUGUAUGCAUUUGAUAGGGAUAUUUCCAUUGCUAGCAGUGUCGUCACUGCAGAGUCAGGAAAGAAACAUAUAAUAGCUGAAAAUGAGCAAAUUACCCAUAUUGCAUUAAUUGAGCCACAGGGGAAUACGAACUAGAAUUUACUAGUUGUUCUACCUUUUAAUUAUUCAGGAAAGAUUCUUUUCUCUUUCAAACGAGUGUCUACAAGGUUUUAACCUUCUACAUCCAGGUUAGCCACCUAAUAAAAAUCAAACCUUUUGUUUGACUAGAGAUCUGUAUGCAGUAUUUGUCUAGUAACAUAUGUAUUGUAAGUUAAGAGUUUGCAGAAUAGUAAGAUCUCAAAUGCAGAUAUAAUACAAUUAAAUUAGAUUAGUCUAAUGCAUAUUCCAUAUUGUACUAGUACAGUGCCCCAACACCAUGUCCAACCUUACAGUCUAACAAACACAUGGGUAGUUCCUACCUGUCUAAAUAACCACUCAGUCUUUAUGACUUAUUAGUACAAUAAGGGGUAUUCCCAUGAAUAUUUUCAGGAUAAAGUCCUAAAAUUAUGUCAAACUUAAUGUAAGUGUGCUCAGCUAGGACAUAAUUACUGUCUAAUUAAAAUCAAAAUGUGAUUACAGUCUUUUCUAAAAUAUUAAUUUUAUAUUGUUGACUCUUAUGGUCUUAUGGAAAAUGUUAUAAGAAAGUGCCUGAUUGCUGAUACAGCAUAUCUUUUAGACCAACAUCCUACAUUUUGAAUGAGAACAUUUGUUUUUGUGUGUUAAUGAAUUAUUUCAGCAAAAGUUUUUCUUCACAGAAUUAUAGAAGGAUCUUCCUCGUGACACAAGUAUGAAAGAAAUAUAUUCUGUUAUUAGGCAAUAUAAAUACUGUAGAAAUAUAUUACUAGAGACUAUUUAAAAAGGAUGACUCUGAGACUCUAUUAAUCUUAUUUUCUGCCAGGUAGUAACCUUGAAUUCUGGAUCCUGCGUUUUUCCUUUAGUCUGACACUUUUUGGCUGUACUGCUCUUCCUUUUACAUGCGAAGUAUAAUUCAGUCCUAGCUAAUGCUGUGGGGAGUUUGUUGUUCUCCUUUUGGACUUUGGCUAUAUUUUCUUUGUUCAGCACAGAUGAAGAUGCAGUUCAGGACUUCCACCUUAUCCAUUCCAGUUGUAGCUGUUAAACCUGGAAUUGAGAAAGCAGCAAGUAAUUUUUCUCUUGAUCUCUCUUCUCUCAUAGGAAACCAAAAUGUGCAGGUCUUUGCUCUCUAGAUAGAACCAUUUGUUGAGUUCCUUUGUUCCAUUUGCAUUCAACUUCCCCUUCAUCACAAAAGUCAAGGUACUCCAGUUAGGAGCUACAGAAGGAUAUUCCAUGUGGUGUCCUCAAAAGCCAUAACAGCCAGCUCAGCCAGACUGUAAUUGAUUUAGGUUCCAGAUAAGCAAUAAUCUUCUGAUUCUCAAAAUUACAUGCAUGGAAUUUUGCAUUAAGAAAUGUCUAGGUGAGGUAUUAGCUGAUUACAGGGAUUAACCAAAGUAUUCUAAGGACUGGUGAGUCCUUUUUAUUUUUGCCCACAACAAAGAUAUUAGAGAAUGGACUCUUUUUUUUAAUUUGUGAGCUAAGAGGGAAAUGGGUCUAAAUCCUCCUUAUAGACCAGUUAGCUAGUUUGACAGUAAUAGUUUGAUUCCUUCCAAAUUAGUGGUGAUGUGCAGGAUAUUUUCCUUUCUAGCUACUUCAUUCUCAAUGUUAAGGAGUCCAGACAAAAAUUUCUAUUCCUCAGAAUAGGCUGGAUUCUCUAGAUCUUUUUCUUAUUUCAGGCCUCAAGAAAAUGAACAGGUAUACAAAAAAGAUAAAAUUUGGGUAGAAGGAUUCUUGAUGGCAUCUCAAAUUGUAAGUUGGAUGCAACCUUGCCAGCUUGGAAAAGUUCAGGCACUGACCUUCUAACUCCAAAGAACACAUUAUGAUGUAUCCAGCUUCACAUGCAAUCAAUGGGUCUUCUGGUCUUAUGUAUACAGACUUUCAUGAACAAGACUGAACAAAAUAGUUUAAAGGAUUUCUACUAGCAGUCUGGAGCUAUUCACAAUAAGAGAUGCAAAGGUACCUACAGAGUGAUUUAGUCUCUUGUUUAGUUGUGAUGGAAGCCCCUGUAACAAUAGAACCUCCUCCUGCAAUCUUGAGUGUAAAAUUUUAAAGGCCUGCCUUAGGGAGUUGCACCUGGAGAACCACCAAGUUGUCUCUAAUGCAAGUUUUAGUUCAGUCUGGCAACACCAUGAUUGACACACAUUUACAUGCGACUAGUUAGAAGAUCAAAUCUAGAUGCUGAAGUAAAGCAGCUUCUCUCCUGGGACUAAACUAAUUUCUUCUGCAUUGCAAUAAACCACAUAAGGUCUGUCCUAUGAUCUUUUAAAAUUUAGUCCUUUGAACCAAUGGUAUCUACUUCCCUAUAUUUCCUUCCUGUAAGAUUAUUCUUUCUGAUUGCAUCGUAUUAGCUGGAAGAGGCUCAAGAAAAUCUUUGUAAGAAGACAGACCUUACUGCAUUGUUUAUGAGAGCAAAAUAGUUCUUUCUGCUCUGAAGUCUGUCUUGAAUAAGACUAGCCCAUCCAUGACUCAAAUGAUCAUUCUUUAUUUGUUUUGUCCAAAAGCUUCAACAUUUGGAGGAGAAAGCAUGAUGGAACAUUCUAAAUAUGGGAAGAGUGGUAAAAGUAUACCUUGGUAUGAACAAGAAAUCAGGUGACAAUCAAGAGAAAAUGGUUCAGUAAAAUUGCUGCAAAGAUAAAACAUAUAUGAUGCUGGCUAUGUACAGAGGUUGGUAUUUUUAAAAAAGGAUAGCAAAAAUGUUUACUGUCAAAGUGAGAGGUAUAUAUUUUGUGAUGGUAGAUUAUUCCUUAAAACUGUUUUGUAUUAUAAUGUAUGAUUACUAAUGUAGGCAGUUGCUGAGGGAUUUUGGUUGAGUAGAAUGAGAGUUGCUCUCUUUUCUUAUGAAAAACUACAUUCUAACUGACUUAAAAAUCACUCUUUGCUUCUGACUGACAAAAUUUAGUUUACUCACAAAGAUUUUUUUAAGUAUUUUUAUAAAAAAUAAUCUGAUUGCCUAAUCGUUUUAAGAGCCUUUUUAUUACCAAAAAUUAUCCAUCCAGAAACUGACUGGAGCAAAGCAUUUUGGCACUUUUUUGAAGAGUAUAGUUGUUAUCUGCCUAGUGAAUUAAUGCAUCUUACAUUAAUCAAAUAUAUCUUACUGGUAAGUAGCUGCGCAUGUCACCAAACUACAUCUGUCAGUUUUGUGGGGUUUUUUAAUAAUAGAUUAUGGGAAUUAGUGUAAGGAUUUCAUUACCAGUCCAUGGAUAAAAAGAGUGGCUCUUGGAGGUCAUGGUUAACGUCCAUUAAUGAGAAAAAGCGCAGAGGCUUGCACAACUGAUGUGUCUGCUAUACCUGGCCUAUGAAUUAAUAAAAUACUUCAGCGUGCUGUCUAUCUUGUAAACCUUCCAAAGCACAAAAUAUUCACCAAGCUACUUUUGGGUUUUCUGGUUGUAGUUCAGUGUAUUUUGGAGGGUGGAAAGGGCAGACUUGGAGGAUCAUGAGAAACAUAAUACAUUUUACAGAUUUUUAUAGCUAUUUUUUUAAUAAAUGGCAUUGCUUUCCAUAACAUCAAAUUACUGAUUAGCACAAACAUCAAAGAUAUUUUAUCUGUUGUGUGGUAUAAAUUAAAUAUGAUUAAGCUCUUUCUUUUCUUUUCCAGAAGAGUCCUAAACUAAAUUAGAAAGCAACAGUACAGUUAUUUAAGGGAUUCUUAAAUCUGCCAAUGUAAAAAAUUGCAAUAAAUCUUCAUUCCUAUUUUUUUCUAGAAUAGAAACUUCCUGGAAUAAGCAUUUAGCAAUGCAUAAUUUUAAUUGUUCCCCCUAUUAUAAAGUCAGCCAUUAGAAAAUAUUUUGCAUUUUUUUAAAUCAGUUUAAAGCUUGAAUUGUCAAAUUUUCUAGGUUACUGAAUAGUCAGUAUAGUACUCUAAAUGGGAUUUUGUUUGGAUGGGGCUUAAGUGUCCUUAUAUAAGCUGUGAUCCAAGUAAUGGUAAGAAAGACGGUAACUAUGUUCUAAGGCUUCCUUGCAUCUGGUCAGUGGCUAUCAGUUUUUAAUAUAACAGCCCUCACAAUGCUUAAGAGAUCAUAGAACAUAUUGUAAUAUUAUGUUGCUGAUUUUCUUUUAAGAUAUAAAAUAUUUUAAGCUUUUUGUCAAAAGUGGUAACAUCUUAUUACAAAUAAACCUUUUUGUGGUUGUAAAAUUUAGCUUAUAAAUCAUUCAAAUUGAAGUGAAAAAAGAAGGUCAUUGUUAAUGACUUAGUCUAUCCUACUAUUAAGAAUAUAUGUAUUUUUGUAAAGGAAAAGCACUUGUAGAUAUUUAAUCUGUCCAAUAUCUAUGUUUAUGUUUUGAAAAAACAAAAUGCUGCUUAGAGAAUCACUUAAAUAUGUUUAUUUUUGUGCUCAAAUGCAUCCUUUGUUGAUUUAUGGAAUGUUUAUUCUGUAUAAAGAUGUAAAGUUAUUACAACUGGGCUAAAUGCAUUUUAUAUUUGGACUUAGCCAGGUCAGAUAUAUUUGGCUACAAAAUUCACUAUAUCAUCAGAAACCUGAUUACAGAAUUUAUUAUGAUGGUGCUGUUU